UAGAAAAAAAGAAUUGCUGUAUGUCUCAGAAUAUUAAAAAUACGUAAGUUUAAUUGUAUGUAUUUGUCGUAGAAAUUGCUGAAAGAACAGACAGUGAUUCUGAAGACAUUGAAUGUAACAUUCUAUCGAAAUUGCAACAAUAGCGAUCGUCAUUGCUGUAGUCUAUCGUAAAUGUUAGCGUCAGAGUGCUCGUAGCACGUUUCGCGUUACCGCAAACGAGAGGGCAGGGAAGAGGAGAGGAGGAAAAGGACGACUAAUUCGGCCGCUACAGGUGAAUAUUCAUGAGAGGCGAUCUUCGCAGCUUAGAGCGCCCCGUUCGCGAGGCCGUAUCGCCGUCGAAGAGAUCUUUGCAACGGAGGAACCGUUGGUUAGAAAGGGUGAAGAGAGGAAAACGCGGUGAAGAGAAAUAUUUCCGUAAUGACGUCGACCCCAUUGUCGCACCCGCGGAAGCUAUAUGUGCAUGCAUGCGUGUUUUGUGUGCAUGUGUGUGUGUGUGUACGAACUGGAAGGCAACUGCUUCUCGGCGACGCGAGUAUAAUGAUACCUAAAGGCGCGCGAACAAAAGAUAAAUUUUUUCAAAGUCUAAAAUUUUUAAAACCUAAAAAAUGUGCAAAUAGAAUUAUUCUUUCUCAUAUAGUCCACCCCUUUGCAAUUUUCCUCUUUAAUUUAUUUUUAGGUUUUGUAAUAAAGAUAGUUUUUUAAAAAUAAAACAAAAAGAUUUCUUAGUUGCUUCUUCAUGCAGAAUCAUUAAUAUUAAUUAUUUCCACGUACCUAUAAUUAAUCCUAGUAAUAUUACGAAUACUAAGAUAAUCCAAUAUAAUUAUGUAAAUAUUUUGAUAAUAAAUUGAAAAUUUUAAGACCAUUAAUCUACGAAACAAGAUCCACGUGUAAAAAGCGAAUGCAGCACGUGUUGCCGGAAGCGAAGAAGGUGCUUCGACAGCUAUGAAAUUCAUCGAUUCAAUAGCUAUGAAAACCUGGGGUGCAUCAUCGAUCAGUCAAAUGAGCGAAGAAAAAUGGAAUGCCGGAAGAUCGAUGAUCUGGCCAGAGCUUAGCUUGAAGGUUUCCGGAAAUUCUUAUCCUUUUAUGGUUGUUUGAGAUUUUUCUAUCUUUUUUUUCCCUAUGUUUUCUAUUAGACCGUUAGAUGCGAAAUACCGGUUUUGUAUCAACAAUAUUCGGAUAAUAAACGAUCUGGGGUAUUCUUAGUUCGUGCAGAUUUUUUCAAAAAGUGCCGUAGCCAACAGUAUAUUUCGCAUCGUUAUAUCUAAACUCUCGCAGUAUCCGCUGCCGACAAUAUGAAGGCUCGCGACUAACCUAGUAGUCGUUAACUCAAGAGCUCCCGCUCCUCAUUAUGGUCGAUAACUUUAAUCACCGCUUGCACAACCACUCUUGCCGUCCCUAUUUCAUGCCAGUCAACAACGAUGGUAUCAACCAGCGUGUGUCAUUUUAGUCAUCUGCGUUUACCGUUGCGUUGAAUUUAUAUGUCACAUCGUGUAUCCUGCUAAACGGCCUCUUUUCGAUCCCGUAUGCCAGCCGUCGGAGAAAAUCGAAUCUCGUCCGAAACUAAUUUCGUGCCUUUGUAGAAGAGACGUGCACCAUUACUGCCGAGCGAGAGGAAGCAAAAAGGGAGGGUACGAGAGGAGGGAUGGAUGAAUUCCUAGAUUUCCGAUAGUAUUGAAAUCCGUCGAAGUGAAAAGCAAAUUAUAUGAACUCUCUCCCUCUUUCUCUUUCUCCCUUCAUUUUUCUCCCUUUGGCGAGAGAGAGAGAGAGAGAGAGAGAGAAGCAGAGAAGGAAGAGGCGGUAGCGGGUCCUUUGAUGUUCUCACUACCGAAACAAAGUGGCCCGCAUGCUCUCGGGGACGAGAUCCUUGCAUGAUAUGCAACCCCAAACCAGUAGGUGCCUUUUCGAGAUACCCCGGAAAAUUAUUAAGUCGACUAUAAGCAGGGGAAGAAUUACAAGUCAUGGGAAAGCGGGAGUCAUAAAGUAAUUGGAGCACAAUUUUAGAAGAAAUCAUUUUAAGUUAAAAUAAAUUGAAUCUCUGUAAACUUUAUUUUUUUGUAUGCAAAUUAUACAAAGUGGGAGAGAACUUAAUUGAAAACUUUUAAAGUACUUGAGAAAUCCAUUAGUUUUCAAGAACCAGGAAAGGUAUAUGAACUUUUACUUGGCUUAAUUAUUUAUAUUUAUUUAUUACUAACUUUGGAAAGUUUGUCUAUAACUAAUAUUGCAAGCUUUCUUUUAACACAUGUUGACAUAAAGCGAGAAUUAACAUGGAAAAGUAGGUACAUCAAGGAGGCGGUGCUUACACAAAAUGGCGUCUUGUCAUUCCUAUGGUAUGACAGAUUGCCUCUCGCGUAAUUUUCGCAAAAAUUAGCCAGACUCCAACAGGCUCAACCAUCUUUCACGGAAGGGGCCAUUUUGAAGGGUUGAAACCGCCGCCGACGGUUUCACGCUCCGAUCGGCCUAACGAGGUUUCGUUAGGCGUCCCUUCACCCUGGCAUUCGCCCACCGCCAUCGGCUUAAUUGUAUAAAUAUUAGAUUACGCGUAGGGUGCGCGGUUGGUAGCAUAACUCCAAAAUCGGACGCGAAUUUUACGCUUCGCUAGACGGAUUUAUGCGCGGAAUACAAAUUCGUUGGGUUCACCGAAAGUUAAAUAUUUUCUCUCUACAGAUACUCUGAAAACCAAACGCAUUGAAACAAUAUGAAAACCUAGAAAUAACCUCAAAUUCGUUUCACCAGAAAAAUAAAUAUGUUAGAUGUUUUUAAAUUAUUUAGGAAGAAUAAUAUCAACCUAUUUUCCAAGAUUCAAACAUUAAUGACUUUUUAAUUAAACUUCAUAAAUAUAAAUGACUAAUAAGAAAACAUAGUUAAGUAUCUCUCUUUAAUUUUAAUAAACCUUCAAUAUUUUAAAAUAUGUAAAAUAUAAAAAUAGAAAAUUUGUCAUUUUUAAAUUUUUUUAAAACUUUGUUAUACGUCAAAUGGAUUGUCUUAAUAGUUAUUCAAAUGCAGCAUAUAAAAAUAUAACAUUCUGUUACAAAUAAAACUAUUUGACAUUUCACAACUCUCGUAACUUUUAUACACGAAGUUAAAUUAUUUUAAAGCUUUUUAUUUUUUUUUAUAAAACAAUUUAUAUUGUUUAUUUUUACAUUAACAGUCAUGCAAUCAAAAUAAAAUUAACGAUAUCACAUUUAAAAUAACAAAUGUUAUCAACUUUACGUUUUUCAUAGUUCUUUGAACUGUAUUUUUCUUACAUUUUUGGUUAAUUUUAGAGAAAUUAUCUGCUUCUAUUUUAAUAUAUAUUUAUUAAAUUAAUAUAUAUUUAAUUAAUUAUUUAAUUUUCACAAAAAAGUAUAAAAGAAUAAAAAAUAUAGAAAAAGUUACGAAUAAAAAAAAAACAGUUUGAUUAUAUACUCUUGGCUUGUAUAACAUAUCUUUUUAUGUUGCAGAAAAUUGAGCAGCGAGGGAUCCCUCAUACCGAAACGCUUAUUUAUCACAUAUAAUGUACGCAGGGGUACGAGUUCUACGAGUGAAGUUCGCGGAGUUCGCCAACGAAACAGGUGGGUGUCGCCGUGCCUGUGGCGGCUCCAUUCAAAACCGCCUCUCACCCUCAACCUCACUCUCGGCUUGUAAAAGAGACGCCAGACAUAACCGGGCGCGCGUUACGCCACCAACGUACGUGUGAUUUAUCCGCUCGAACAGGUGUCAACGAUACGUCGGUUCUCAUGUGUGAACGACAGGUAGAUGGCCUGUGACACGAGACCAACGUCUCUCCUUUGCGCUAACUUUCCGGAUUUGCUCCCGCAACACUAAAUUUCGAGGACGAACAUGCGCAUCGUUGCAGAUUUUACAUUUAGAGUUAUCAAUCAUAAUUAACGAAGAAAUCAGACAGCUAUAACUACAAAAAUUAUUUAAAUAUUUUAGGGAGCUUUAUAUAAUUCCUUUCUAUUAUUGUAUAUAAUUCUAUUAGAAAAUUAUAUACAUAUUAUUUAAUUAUCUAAGCAUAUAUUUAUAUGCACAUUCUAAGAGCAAUUUUUGGAGAAAUAAUAAAUAUUUUAUACAUAAUUUUCUAAUAAUAUUUGCUCAUGUCCUCAUUCGCUAUUUUCAACCAAUGUUUGCGUGUUGACGUCUCUUAUUAAUGGUAUUUAUUAUGUAUAUAUUUUUCUUUGAUGUAUCAAAUAUUUCAUCUCAAUGGGUUAAGUAUGAUGCUAUUAAAUAUAAGUAUAGUGGAAUCUUUUGUGUUCUGCUGGCUUGACUCAUCGCGUCAUUCUCACUUGAAUUUUAUAAGGUCAACAAAUGAAUUCCACACCGCAUACAUGAGUGACUGCUCAUCCCAUAUAAUCGACCACAACCCAACCGGUUGUUACUCAUACGAAGAAGAUCAAAAAAUAGCAACGACCCGGGAAUGCACUUUCGUGACGCAUCCCGGAGCCGACAGAAUUCGCAUACGAAAUGCACGCCACGGCAUUUUCUUCACCGCUCUUGAGAAAAGUUUGCUUUGUUAGUGGAGCGAGCUUUUCCUUGCCAGGCUGGACGUAAAGUUGGAGAAGAUUCAGUUCCCGACCCACUGAGCUAAAAUUCUUGACGUUCCUCCAUACAAAAUUAUCGUUUCGACCGCGGAAAGAGAACGAAAAAAAAAAGGGGGAAAAAGAAUUUGCGGACGUUGUUAAAGUAGUUUCGAACAUGUCCAUUCCUCUUUCUUACGGUUUUUGUCAUUUUACAAUUUGUCAUCUUACAAUUUUGUGGAAGCUUAGCAAAACUAGAAAAUUGUUCAUUUUCAACAGUUUUUAGACUGUAAUUUUGAAAACAAAAUAAAAUUCUUUUGUAUAACACAUCGUUUUUUAAUAUUAACGGGUAUUUUUUCUAAAUUUCAGAAAUUGUUAAAUUAUAAUUUACAAUUUAUAUAAAUUAUAAUUUAUAUAAAUUUUCUUUGAUAUACAGCAAUUGAAUAAUACAUUUUCUCAUUUUCCCUUCAAAAGGAAUAGAUAGACUUUAUGCGCCAAAUUUUCAAAAAAUUGCCUCUAGAUGAGAGAUUUUUCUUGUAACGAAUGCUACAAAUUUCUUAAUAAUUUUUUACAAAUUAUGCAAAUAUUUUCAUGUCUAUUUGUAGAGUAUGCCGAUGAGUUGCAAAAUUUAUACGCAACAAUAGUGUCCAUCGAAUGUAGCGCGUUUGCUUUCAUAAUCGAAUUCGCGCGACACAACGGCAAUGACUGCGAUGCUACAAUUUGCAUUCCUGGCGCAAUCACCGGAACAACGUACAUCCAAUCCGAUUCUGCUGAUCAAUCGGGACGAACUCCUCGGCGAAAUAACUGUGGUAGCUACAACAAUAGGGCCAAAGAUAUCGAUCGAUAAUAAUCCAUUGUCGAUCGAUUGGCGCGCGCCGGAAGAAGUGUAUAACGACCGGCGCCGUUAUUAAUUGCGGUUACUAUCACGAAAUUGCCCUUUUAAAUCAUGCUCGGUAUGCAUCGGCAAAUAUUUCACAAUGGGAGGAGAAAGAGAAGGGUGCGAUGGCUUUUCGCAAAUGCGUCGUGCGCGCGCGAUCGAUUCCGUCGAAUAUUUAUGCGACGUCGAUAAUUAAUCUCGUGGCGAAAUAACGCGGAUAGUUUCUCAGAAUAUGAGCAAGUUCCACUUCUCAGGAGAUAUUUUUCCAAUGAAUUAUUGUUGAACAGUCGUACAUAAAAUAAUGGCUUUUUAUAUGAAAAACUUUCAAAUAAUAUAUCCGAGAAUUUAAAUCAAAGUAAAUAAAAAAAUAAGUGCAUGUUUUGUCAUGUAUUGCUUCUUUAACAACGUAUUUUUUAAUCAGUUUGAAAUUAUUCGUUUCUUAGAGAAAAUAUCGGGAGAAGUCAUCAUUUAUUUUAAUUUUCUAACAUUAUAUCUAUAACUAGUUUUAAAUUAAAAUUAUAUUUCAGUAAACUUUAUCUAAAAUUUACUGAAAUAUGUAGCUUUGAAUUCUAUUUAUGUUUCUCAAGUUUACUUUCCAAAGAGUUUUCUUUCUUAUCAAAUUGCUCAUAAUUAGUGCUGUCUUGAUGUUAAAAUCGAAAAAGAAAACAUUUUCAUAUUUUAAGCAUUAAAUUCUGCAUAUCCAUUUGCUCGUUAAUAAUAUAAUAUACGUAUAUAAUUACAUAAAUGUGUUAAAAAAGAAUAUUAUAAUAACGUAAUGCAAGGUGGUAAUAAUGUAAUGUAAUGUAAAAUAAUGUAAUGAAUUAUUUUUAUUAAAAUUAUACGUGCAUUUGUAAAAUUAGA
rnacentral:lncRNA from 1 species